UACGUAGGGUGCAAGCGUUGUCCGGAAUUAUUGGGCGUAAAGAGCUCGUAGGCGGUCUGUUGCGUCGGCUGUGAAAACCCGGGGCUCAACUCCGGGCCUGCAGCCGAUACGGGCAGACUAGAGUUCGGCAGGGGAGACUGGAAUUCCUGGUGUAGCGGUGAAAUGCGCAGAUAUCAGGAAGAACACCCGUGGCGAAAGCGGCUCUCUGGAACGGUACUGACGCUGAGACGCGAAAGCGUGGGGAGCGAACAGG
rnacentral:rRNA from 1 species